rnacentral:rRNA from 1 species
UACGUAGGGUGCAAGCGUUAAUCGGCAUUACUGGGCGUAAAGCGUGCGCAGGCGGUUUUGUAAGUCUGACGUGAAAUCCCCGGGCUCAACCUGGGAAUUGCGUUGGAGACUGCAAGGCUGGAGUCUGGCAGAGGGGGGUAGAAUUCCACGUGUAGCAGUGAAAUGCGUAGAGAUGUGGAGGAACACCGAUGGCGAAGGCAGCCCCCUGGGUCAAGACUGACGCUCAUGCACGAAAGCGUGGGGAGCAAACAGG